UACAGGGGGUGCAAACGUUGCUCGGAAUCAUUGGGCGUAAAGCGCACGUAGGCGGCCAACUAAGUCAGACGUGAAAUCCCCAGGCUCAACCUGGGAACUGCGUCUGAUACUGGAUGGCUUGAAUCCGGGAGAGGGAUGCAGAAUUCCAGGUGUAGCGGUGAAAUGCGUAGAUAUCGGGAGGAACACCAGUGGCGAAGGCGGCUCACUGGACCGGUACUGACGCUGAUGCGCGAAAGCGUGGGGAGCAAACGGGG
rnacentral:rRNA from 1 species